rnacentral:lncRNA from 1 species
GUCCACUACAUUUUCACGAAUAAAUCUAUAAACGCAAUAGGCCUACUUUUUAUUCUAACCAUAGACAGUGAGUCCUAGCGAAACAAGAUUUGGCGCCGAAACGGUCGAAUCCGUUGCGUGGUGACGCAGGCGCAGCGUGGGGUUUCCCAGCCCGGAGAGCAGGGUCACCGCGCCCAUCUCUGCUGUCUGAUGGCUGAAGCGAGCGCCUGACAGAGCGAGCGCAGGAGAACGAAGAGUGUGGGACCUACCAGAAAGGCUACUUCGGACCGACCGUGUGUUUCUGGAGCGUCUUCGUGGCAGUUUCAGGAAGAAAUGUUUGUGAAAGAGUGGAGCGUCCAGAGAAACCGGUUUGGUCGGAGGCAGGUGGCACAUUUGUUUGCAGGAAUGAUCUGAGCUUGACAAGAUCUGACUUAGUCUAGACUGAGAGUCUAGUAUUCUCACUUGUAGUAGUCCAGUGGGAAACUCCAAUGACAGACAAGAGAAACGGUAUGAGAAAUUAGCUGUGUUCCAAAGCCUAGUAAGCUGUCUAUUUAGUAUUGAAUAAUUACGUUUAAAAUGGACAUAUUCAACGUUUGCCAUCUUGAAUGGACGCUUUCAUUGAGUUGGUGCAUUCUGGGAUCGUCGUCUUCCUGAACAAUACUUGUGAUUCUGCUACCUAACAAUAAGGCCAUAAUAAGAACAAUCAUAAUCAUCCUGCUAACCUUUUAAAAUGAUAUUUGCUCAUGAUGCCUGAACACUCACAAGGCUUUGAAACAGAGCCACACUCACAUGACAUUUCUUGCUUUGUAUUAAUUGUACAAAAGGCUUUCUUCUGGUUUUCAAAGUAUGUAUGAUCCUGUUGAAAUGUGAGUUGUGAUUGUGAGUUACGUUCAGCUGUAAUAUAAAACUGAUCCGGUGGACUCUUCACUGGCAUCAGGCAGGUAAGAACUGACCCACAUUAAACACAUGCAUUCCAUAAUCUAGGUCCUCAUGAAAUCUAUUCUGUUUGUCAUUAUUUUUAUCAUAGUAAAAAGCACAUUACAAAUACACACAAUAUACAAAUAAAACAGUGUUUUAUUUUCAAGUACAAUAGGUGUAUUUAGCAGAAGCAUUCAAGAAACUGAAUCAGUAAAUAUAAAAAUAAAACACUAUAUAGAUUCAUUCCUAUUAAAGCAACUGUAAAGUUUUUCAUUAACAUUAAAGGAAUAAUUCACCCAAAAAAAUAGGGUUUAUUUUUAUACCAUCAUUUACUCACUCAAAAGUCGCUUUAAGCCUU